AGGUGAAGCUCUUUUCACCAAAAUCGUCAUUUUUAUAGUAGUUUACGUUUCAGUUCUUACGCGUCGUGCUUGGGAAUCAGUUGUAAAUUAUGCCAAGUCUGACAAAAUCGUGGUGCUGGCUGUGUAUGGCGUCAUGAUUCUGUUUAUUGUCAUCGGCAUCAUUUACCUAUUGUCUAAAAAGAAGAAGAUGUCAUGUCAUGGAGCGAUAUGUAAUUGGAUAUGGGAUCAAUUAGCAAUUGCAUCUGGAUUCAUCUUUUUAAUUCUUCCUUCAUUGCAAUUUGCUGUUGUGUACUUUGCUUUUGGAGCUGCCAGAGGAGGGUAUUAUGUGUCGAUAGCUGUCCCAGUUUUUUAUUUUCUCUCAUUUUCCUGUUUGUUUAAACUACGGGGAGGGAAAAGCUGUUUAGAAUUACUCAAUAAAACAGCAUGGAUAAUCUACAUGUUUAUCAUGAAUACAGUA